rnacentral:rRNA from 1 species
GUGGGGAAUUUUGGACAAUGGGCGCAAGCCUGAUCCAGCAAUGCCGCGUGCAGGAAGAAGGCCUUCGGGUUGUAAACUGCUUUUGUACGGAACGAAACGGUCCUGGUUAAUACCUGGGGCUAAUGACGGUACCGUAAGAAUAAGCACCGGCUAACUACGUGCCAGCAGCCGCGGUAAUACGUAGGGUGCGAGCGUUAAUCGGAAUUACUGGGCGUAAAGCGUGCGCAGGCGGUGCUGUAAGACAGGCGUGAAAUCCCCGGGCUCAGCCUGGGAAUUGCGCUUGUGACUGCAGUGCUGGAGUACGGCAGAGGGGGAUGGAAUUCCGCGUGUAGCAGUGAAAUGCGUAGAUAUGCGGAGGAACACCGAUGGCGAAGGCAGUCCCCUGGGCCUGUACUGACGCUCAUGCACGAAAGCGUGGGGAGCAAACAGGAUUAGAAACCCCGGUAGUCC